rnacentral:rRNA from 1 species
GACGAACCCUUUCGGCGUGCUUAACACAUGCAAGUCGAACGGAAAGGCCCUGCUUUUGUGGGGUGCUCGAGUGGCGAACGGGUGAGUAACACGUGAGUAACCUGCCCUUGACUUUGGGAUAACUUCAGGAAACUGGGGCUAAUACCGGAUAGGAGCUCCUGCUGCAUGGUGGGGGUUGGAAAGUUUCGGCGGUUGGGGAUGGACUCGCGGCUUAUCAGCUUGUUGGUGGGGUAGUGGCUUACCAAGGCUUUGACGGGUAGCCGGCCUGAGAGGGUGACCGGCCACAUUGGGACUGAGAUACGGCCCAGACUCCUACGGGAGGCAGCAGUGGGGAAUAUUGCACAAUGGGCGGAAGCCUGAUGCAGCAACGCCGCGUGCGGGAUGACGGCCUUCGGGUUGUAAACCGCUUUCGCCUGUGACGAAGCGUGAGUGACGGUAAUGGGUAAAGAAGCACCGGCUAACUACGUGCCAGCAGCCGCGGUGAUACGUAGGGUGCGAGCGUUGUCCGGAUUUAUUGGGCGUAAAGGGCUCGUAGGUGGUUGAUCGCGUCGGAAGUGUAAUCUUGGGGCUUAACCCUGAGCGUGCUUUCGAUACGGGUUGACUUGAGGAAGGUAGGGGAGAAUGGAAUUCCUGGUGGAGCGGUGGAAUGCGCAGAUAUCAGGAGGAACACCAGUGGCGAAGGCGGUUCUCUGGGCCUUUCCUGACGCUGAGGAGCGAAAGCGUGGGGAGCGAACAGGCUUAGAUACCCUGGUAGUCCACGCUGUAAACGGUGGGUACUAGGUGUGGGGUCCAUUCCACGGGUUCCGUGCCGUAGCUAACGCUUUAAGUACCCCGCCUGGGGAGUACGGCCGCAAGGCUAAAACUCAAAGGAAUUGACGGGGCCCCGCACAAGCGGCGGAGCAUGCGGAUUAAUUCGAUGCAACGCGUAGAACCUUACCUGGGUUUGACAUGGAUCGGGAGUGCUCAGAGAUGGGUGUGCCUCUUUUGGGGUCGGUUCACAGGUGGUGCAUGGCUGUCGUCAGCUCGUGUCGUGAGAUGUUGGGUUAAGUCCCGCAACGAGCGCAACCCUUGUUCACUGUUGCCAGCACGUUAUGGUGGGGACUCAGUGGAGACCGCCGGGGUCAACUCGGAGGAAGGUGGGGAUGACGUCAAGUCAUCAUGCCCCUUAUGUCCAGGGCUUCACGCAUGCUACAAUGGCUGGUACAGAGAGUGGCGAGCCUGUGAGGGUGAGCGAAUCUCGGAAAGCCGGUCUCAGUUCGGAUUGGGGUCUGCAACUCGACCUCAUGAAGUCGGAGUCGCUAGUAAUCGCAGAUCAGCAACGCUGCGGUGAAUACGUUCCCGGGGAU